rnacentral:rRNA from 1 species
UAANCCUGCAUGUCUAAGUAUAAGCAACUUGUACUGUGAAACUGCGAAUGGCUCAUUAAAUCAGUUAUCGUUUAUUUGAUAGUACCUUACUACAUGGAUACCUGUGGUAAUUCUAGAGCUAAUACAUGCUAAAAACCCCGACUUCAGGAAGGGGUGUAUUUAUUAGAUAAAAAACCAACGCCCUUCGGGGCUCCUUGGUGAAUCAUAAUAACUUAACGAAUCGCAUGGCCUUGCGCCGGCGAUGGUUCAUUCAAAUUUCUGCCCUAUCAACUUUCGAUGGUAGGAUAGUGGCCUACCAUGGUGGCAACGGGUAACGGGGAAUUAGGGUUCGAUUCCGGAGAGGGAGCCUGAGAAACGGCUACCACAUCCAAGGAAGGCAGCAGGCGCGCAAAUUACCCAAUCCCGAUACGGGGAGGUAGUGACAAUAAAUACUGAUACGGGGCUCUUUUGGGUCUCGUAAUUGGAAUGAGAACAAUUUAAAUCCCUUAACGAGGAACAAUUGGAGGGCAAGUCUGGUGCCAGCAGCCGCGGUAAUUCCAGCUCCAAUAGCGUAUAUUAAAGUUGUUGCAGUUAAAAAGCUCGUAGUUGAACCUUGGGUCUGGCUGGCCGGUCCGCCUCACCGCGAGUACUGGUCCGGCUGGACCUUUCCUUCUGGGGAACCUCAUGGCCUUCACUGGCUGUGGGGGGAACCAGGACUUUUACUGUGAAAAAAUUAGAGUGUUCAAAGCAGGCCUUUGCUCGAAUACAUUAGCAUGGAAUAAUAGAAUAGGACGUGUGGUUCUAUUUUGUUGGUUUCUAGGACCGCCGUAAUGAUUAAUAGGGAUAGUCGGGGGCGUCAGUAUUCAGCUGUCAGAGGUGAAAUUCUUGGAUUUGCUGAAGACUAACUACUGCGAAAGCAUUCGCCAAGGAUGUUUUCAUUAAUCAGGGAACGAAAGUUAGGGGAUCGAAGACGAUCAGAUACCGUCGUAGUCUUAACCAUAAACUAUGCCGACUAGGGAUCGGACGGGAUUCUAUAAUGACCCGUUCGGCACCUUACGAGAAAUCAAAGUUUUUGGGUNNUGGGGGGAGUAUGGUC